UACGUAGGGUGCGAGCGUUAAUCGGAAUUACUGGGCGUAAAGCGUGCGCAGGCGGUUUUGUAAGCCAGGUGUGAAAUCCCCGGGCUCAACCUGGGAAUGGCAUUUGGGACUGCAAGGCUGGAGUGCGGCAGAGGAGACUGGAAUUCCUGGUGUAGCAGUGAAAUGCGUAGAUAUCAGGAGGAAUACCGAUGGCGAAGGCAGGUCUCUGGGCUGACACUGACGCUCAUGCACGAAAGCGUGGGGAGC
rnacentral:rRNA from 1 species